AGUUAAUAUAGCAUAUGAAGUGCAUUUGUUUUAAGCGCAAAAGAUAUAAGUUAACUA
rnacentral:tRNA from 1 species